GGGCUUAUGAUGAUAAUUUUCAAUUAUCUUAGCGGAUUUCAGUGAGAUUUUAACGUCAAUGAUCUGAUUGUUACACACACUGAGGCUC